rnacentral:lncRNA from 1 species
UUAUCAGUGUUGGCACGAAUAAACUAAAGAAUAAAACAAGGCAACAAAUUGGAAAAGAAAGUAAUUAAGGGUAAUUUCCCUGAUGGUUUCACGCAGAAACGUGAAUUGGAAAGGAAAAUGGGAUUGAAAUCCCUAAUCCCCAACUUCUCCUUCUUCAAUGGCAGCGGCGGUAAAGGGCGCCGUUCGUGGCUAGGACCAGGCGGGUGUGAUUCACGAUAAGGGAACAAGAGGGCGCGACGGGGAAGCGAUAGUGAAUGACCUUCAUCCUCCAGCGGUGAUGAACAACAAUCACGGCCAAGGGUGGUUCACGGUUGUAGCGCGGUGGUGUAUAUUUGCGAGUUCUUCUUCUCUUAAUCAUCACGGGUUUCAUUUUUCGGUUCGUGAAGUUCUUAACCCAAAGUACCUCUAAUUCGAGAUGGGUACAAAGGAUGGUGAGUUAUGUUUUGUUUGGUGUAACGAUGAUAGAGCCACUAAUGGCUGACUCCGAAUCGGGUAACUACUGCUUCAUUAAUUUUUGUCAAUUCAUUGCCUUAAGUUGAUUAUCGGUUUUCUUGUUCUUCCAUGAACUCAUACAAUUUCGAUUGAUCUUUACAGAAUGUUAAUCCCGAGUCAUUGACCCGAAGUCAGCUAGAGAAUAUCGGAGAUAUACGCUGUAUCGACUGAACUGAGGCGUCUUCCAUUGGUGAUUAUUCUCAACCGACCAGAGGAGAGGUAAACAUUCUCCUUAUUUCUCAUGAAGCCUUACCGAUUGUAUGAGUUUCGUUAGUGUUCCAGAUUAGUAAUGAUAAAGGAAUAAUCUUUUUAUUAUUGAAUUCUUGCCUAAUCCUUAGCUGAUGGAAACAUAUAGA